ACGAACGCUGGCGGCGUGCCUAAUACAUGCAAGUCGAGCGAAGUUUUUCUGGUGCUUGCACCGGAAAAACUUAGCGGCGAACGGGUGAGUAACACGUAAAGAACCUGCCUCAUAGACUGGGACAACUAUUGGAAACGAUAGCUAAUACCGGAUAAUAGCAUUAACUGCAUGGUUGAUGUUUAAAAGUUGGUUCUGCUAACACUAUGAGAUGGCUUUGCGGUGCAUUAGCUAGUUGGUGGGGUAAAGGCCUACCAAGGCGACGAUGCAUAGCCGACCUGAGAGGGUGAUCGGCCACACUGGGACUGAGACACGGCCCAGACUCCUACGGGAGGCAGCAGUAGGGAAUCUUCCGCAAUGGGCGAAAGCCUGACGGAGCAACGCCGCGUGAGUGAAGAAGGAUUUCGGUUCGUAAAGCUCUGUUGUUAGGGAAGAAUGAUUGUGUAGUAACUAUACACAGUAGAGACGGUACCUAACCAGAAAGCCACGGCUAACUACGUG
rnacentral:rRNA from 1 species